rnacentral:rRNA from 1 species
AGGACGAACGCUGGCGGCGUGCUUAACACAUGCAAGUCGAGCGGUAAGGCCCUUUCGGGGGUACACGAGCGGCGAACGGGUGAGUAACACGUGAGUAAUCUGCCCUCCACUUGGGGAUAAGCUUCGGAAACGGGGUCUAAUACCUGAUACGACAACUACCUGCAUGGGUUGGUUGUGGAAAGUUUUUUCGGUGGGGGAUGUGCUCGCGGCCUAUCAGCUUGUUGGUGGGUAAUGGCCUACCGAAGGCUUCGACGGGUAGCCGGCCUGAGAGGGUGACCGGCCACACUGGGACUGAGACACGGCCCAGACUCCUACGGGAGCAGCAGGUGGGGAACAUUGGACAAGUGGGCGAAGCCUGAUCCAGCAACGCCGCGUGAGGAUGACGGCCUUGGUGUAACCUC